rnacentral:rRNA from 1 species
UGGGGAAUUUUGGACAAUGGGGGAAACCCUGAUCCAGCCAUCCCGCGUGUGCGAUGAAGGCCUUCGGGUUGUAAAGCACUUUUGGCAGGAAAGAAACGUCGCGGGUUAAUACCCCGCGAAACUGACGGUACCUGCAGAAUAAGCACCGGCUAACUACGUGCCAGCAGCCGCGGUAAUACGUAGGGUGCAAGCGUUAAUCGGAAUUACUGGGCGUAAAGCGUGCGCAGGCGGUUCGGAAAGAAAGAUGUGAAAUCCCAGAGCUUAACUUUGGGAACUGCAUUUUUAACUACCGGGCUAGAGUGUGUCAGAGGGAGGUGGAAUUCCGCGUGUAGCAGUGAAAUGCGUAGAUAUGCAGAGGAACACCGAUGGCGAAGGCAGCCUCCUGGGAUAACACUGACGCUCAUGCACGAAAGCGUGGGGAGCAAACAGGAUUAGAUACCCUGGUAGUCCACGCCCUAAACGAUGUCAACUAGCUGUUGGGGACCUUCGGGCCUUGGUAGCGCAGCUAACGCGUGAAGUUGACCGCCU